UGGGGAAUUUUGGACAAUGGGCGAAAGCCUGAUCCAGCCAUGCCGCGUGAGUGAAGAAGGCCUUCGGGUUGUAAAGCUCUUUUAGUCGGAAAGAAAAGAUCAUAAUGAACAAUUAUGAUUCAUGACGGUACCGACAGAAAAAGCACCGGCUAACUACGUGCCAGCAGCCGCGGUAAUACGUAGGGUGCGAGCGUUAAUCGGAAUUACUGGGCGUAAAGGGUGCGCAGGCGGUAUUGCAAGUCAGAUGUGAAAGCCCCGGGCUUAACCUGGGAAUUGCGUUUGAAACUACAAGACUAGAGUGCAGCAGAGGGGAGUGGAAUUCCAUGUGUAGCAGUGAAAUGCGUAGAGAUGUGGAAGAACGCCGAUGGCGAAGGCAGCUCCCUGGGUUGACACUGACGCUCAUGCACGAAAGCGUGGGGAGCAAACA
rnacentral:rRNA from 1 species